rnacentral:rRNA from 1 species
AUACGUAGGUGACAAGCGUUAUCCGGAUUUACUGGGCGUAAAGGGCGUGUAGGCGGUCUUGCAAGUCAGAAGUGAAAUUCCUGAGCUCAACUCGGGCGCUGCUUCUGAAACUGCAGGACUUGAGUGCUGGAGGGGAUAGCGGAAUUCCUAGUGGAGCGGUAAAAUGCGCAGAUAUUAGGAAGAACACCGGUGGCGAAGGCGGCUAUCUGGACAGUAACUGACGCUGAGGCGCGAAAGCGUGGGGAGCAAACAGGAUUAGAUACCCUGGUAGUCCACGCCAUAAACGAUGAAUACUAGGUGUAGGGGGUAUCGACUCCCUCUGUGCCGCAGUUAACACAAUAAGUAUUCCGCCUGGGGAGUACGGCCGCAAGGUUGAAACUCAAAUGAAUUGACGGGG